GCAACUGAAUAAUACAGAAAACAGAGAUUGGAGACGGGAAACUGUUCUUGAAGUACAGAGAGAGAGAGAGAGAGAGCUGUGCAUGGAUGUGAAUUUAAUAGUCGUGGAAGCAAAACAGCAAAAUUCAUGACGACAUUGAUCAAAUGUGAAGCGCAGUUUGAAUCAGAAUCAGAAUACUUUAUUGCUCCCUGGGGGAAAUUAUUUUUUGUUACAGUGCUCCAUUUUGCUGCUUCUUUUGCUGCUGGCUCGGUGAAUUUUGGUUGGAGAGAGACAAAACCUGCAGCUCAGAAUCAGCGCAAAAAGACACAUAAUCACAGCGCGGACCGGACGCAUCAGAACCGCUAAGCUCCGACAGCGUGUCCGUCUACGGGCCGUCGGGUGAGAAAGCCGAGAAAGACGAAGCUGAUUCUGAUGCGUGGGGUCCGUUCUGUGUUUACGUCUUUGUGUGGAGUCCGUGUACCUGCUCUCAUUUGCUGUUUGGUUGUUGUUGAAAUGGUUUUGUGAGCUUUAAUCUGAGAAUCUGGCGUUUCUGGCAAAACACAGUUAUAUUUAAAAGUCGAUUCAGGAUUUAAUGAAUUGAUAUCGCUUUAUUCAAGCUACUCACCUCCCACUUCCACCUGCACUUUCAACUGGACCACGGCCAAUCAGAGAGGUCCCGCCCCUUACUAUCUCUGAUUGGUUUAGUCCACGAUAGGGGCAAAAUGUGUGUCUGUUGUUGACCACAGGGAAGGUUGCAGAUUUUUUUUUUUUUUUUUUGCUACCUGAACAUUUGGUCGCACAGGUGCAACCAAAUUUUUUUUUUUAGUCGCACCACUGAAAACUUUGGUCGCAUUUGCGACCAAAUUGGUCGCACUCUAGAGCCCUGCUGUUGCUUCUACUUUAAACAGAAGAGCAGGGACAUGGGUGCAGGUCUUCGCCACUCCGGCCAUACUGGUGCAGUGGGCGGCUUCAAUCUUCCCUGUGAUGCUCACAGUGACCCAUGGCUGCAAUGCUGGUUCAUUCAGUCUUUGAGAGUAGUGAUGGUAAAUUUGAUUCUUUUUACUGAAUCGAGUUUUAAUGAGUCACUCACCAAAGUGAAUCGGAUUUUUUGAGUCAUUUGAUUCACUGAGUCAGUUGACCAGAGAGUGCAAAAAAUUUACAUUUUCACUCAAACUUAAUUUGUUUCUCUUUUCAUGUAAAUCCCACUGCUAAGAUGAAUGAUUAAAAAAAAAAAAACUAUUUUAUAGAGCAAAAAAGAGCAAAAACAUUUCUAAAAUUAAGCAAUUUCCUAUCAAAAUUGCUUAAUAAACAUUUAUUUUGUUUAUUU
ensembl:lncRNA